rnacentral:rRNA from 1 species
AAUCUUGCGCAAUGGGCGAAAGCCUGACGCAGCAACGCCGCGUGAGCGAUGAAGGUCUUUGGAUCGUAAAGCUCUUUCGGCAGGGAAGAAACGCCCGGUGCCGAAUACCCAUCGGGUUUGCCGGUACCUGCCGAAGAAGCACCGGCUACCUCUGUGCCAGCAGCCGCGGUAAUACAGAGGGUGCAAGCGUUGUUCGGAAUGACUGGGCGUAAAGCGAGUGUAGGCGGGAUGGUGUGUCGGGUGUGAAAGCCCUCGGCUCAACCGAGGAAGUGCGCCCGAAACUGCCAUUCUUGAGUGUCGGAGAGGGUGACGGAAUUCCCGGUGUAGAGGUGAAAUUCGUAGAUAUCGGGAGGAACACCAGUGGCGAAGGCGGUCACCUGGACGAACACUGACGCUGAGACUCGAAAGCGUGGGGAGCAAACAGG